rnacentral:pre_miRNA from 1 species
AGCCAGUAGUGAGGACACAAACCUGGAAUUGAACAUGGGUUGGUCCCCUCAACUGGUUGU